UCCAAUUUGGAACAGGCGGCGUCAGACAGUAAUGUCUGAUGGAAAAACUGACUAAUAUCGGUGAAGUCCAUAAAUUUUUCAACCUGCGUUUAUGGAUAAUACCGAGGGAAGUCCUGAGUUAAUCGAAGGACCCCGUAGAGACUUGUCUCUGAUCCAGAGACAGAUAUGUGCUACGGCACGUAUAAUAUGUCGGUCUCCUUCAUAUGAAGGAUGGUGAUAUAGUCCAUACCAUUAGUAAUAAUGGAAUAAUAUGCGCGAGACAGGUUGGUCCCUAUCUACCGCAGGCGUCGAGUCUUGAGGGGAGUCGCGGACAGUACGAGAGGACCUCCGUGAACUGACCUCUGGUGUACCAGUUGUCCUGCCAAGGGCAUGGCUGGGUAGCUAUGUCGGGAAUGGAUAAGUGCUGAAAGCAUCUAAGCACGAAGCCAACCCCAAGAUUAAGACUCAUUAUAGAUCUCCCGCAGACCACGGGAUUAAUAGGCUGUAGGCGUAAGGCCCGCAAGGGCCUCAACCGAGCAGUACUAAUCGAUCAAAACUAACAAUUUU
rnacentral:rRNA from 1 species